GACGUAGGAUGCAAGCGUUGUCCGGAUUUAUUGGGCGUAAAGAGUACGUAGGUGGACAUUUAAGUCUAGGGUGAAAGGCCAUGGCUCAACCAUGGAAACGCCUUGGAUACUGGGUGUCUUGAGGGUAGCAGAGGAAAGUGGAAUUCCAAGUGUAGCGGUGAAAUGCGUAGAUAUUUGGAGGAACACCAGUGGCGAAAGCGACUUUCUGGGCUAUUCCUGACACUGAGGUACGAAAGCCAGGGGAGCAAACGGG
rnacentral:rRNA from 1 species